rnacentral:rRNA from 1 species
GACGAACGCUGGCGGCGUGCUUAACACAUGCAAGUCGAACGGCAAGGCCCUGCUUGCUGGGUACUCGAGUGGCGAACGGGCGAGUAACACGUGGGUGAUCUGCACUGCACUUCGGGAUAAGCCUGGGCAACUGGGUCUAAUACCGGAUAGGAGCCAUUUCUAGCGUGAUGGUUGGAAAGUUUUUUCGGUGUAGGAUGAGCUCGCGGCCUAUCAGCUUGUUGGUGGGGUAAUGGCCUACCAAGGCGGCGACGGGUAGCCGGCCUGAGAGGGUGGACGGCCACAUUGGGACUGAGAUGCGGCCCAGACUCCUACUGGAGGCAGCAGUGGGGAAUAUUGCACAAUGGGCACAAGCCUGAUGCAGCGGCGCCGCGUGGUGGAUGACGGCCUUCGGGUUGUAAACUCCUUUCGCUAUGGACGAAGCUUUUUGUGACGGUACCUAGAUAAGAAGCACCGGCUAACUACGUG